ensembl:lncRNA
CAACGGAACAAACCGCCGACGCUUUCGCUAAUAUUCAGCUACAAACUUGACAUAUUUCGAGAAAAUUUGAGCUGUAUUCGUGAGUCAUCUUCUCGCACUACGCUUGUGAACGUGUCUCUUUUGAUACAACGUUAGCUUAAUUGCGUUUUAAUCGACGCCAGCUGAACAAAGGAUUUCAAGCCACACGCGGCCUGGUUGUUGCAGACAAUAUAACAAUGGCCAAGGGAGAGGACUCUCACACGGAAAUUGCCCGCGUUCGCCAGAGGGACGGCAUCAACGUGAUCUUUGACCGCAGCAGCGCUGCCGCUUCGCGCUCCCGUUCACGAUCCAAAAGCAGCAGACGCUCCAGCGGCUCCGGUCGCCACAGGGGGCGCAGCAACCGCCGGCAUCGCCGGUGUUCGUCGUCUUCAUCCAGCAGCAGGCACUCUCGUCACCGACGCAACAGGUCCCGCUCCAGCAGGUCCGGCCGGGCAGUUAGCCGGUUCUCCCAGUCCCCGCCCAGAAACCACAGGAGCAGCUCUGGAUCCGAAUAUUCCGAAAAUUCCGUUGACCUGAGUAUUGAUGAUAAAGGAAACCCCAUCAUGUCUGCCAAUGCUUCCAUAAUCCAAGAGGACGAGAAACUCUACAGUCCUGAGAUCGUGGAAUCAAUCCAGUCGGCUCAGGCAGUGGAGUCCAAUCAAGUGUUGCGAGAGACAUGGGUGAGACAAGACCUGGAAAAGACUCCGUCACAGAGCGAUGAGGGGGAGCUUGAUGAUAUGUUCAGCUUAGGGAUGUCCCUGAAAAGGAGGACGAUCUCUUUCAGCAUUAACAACGCCGUGUUAAAACCAGCAGCUGCUGCCGCCGCGUCGGGGGCAAAGGUAACUUCCAGAAUGGACAGCUAUGAAAGCCGGAAGCCGUAUGGCCACUGGAUGCCAGUCAAAUCAGGCCACGCCUCCAGGGCACGCAGACACACACCGGCACGCUAG